rnacentral:rRNA from 1 species
UACGUAGGGUGCAAGCGUUGUCCGGAAUUAUUGGGCGUAAAGAGCUCGUAGGCGGUUUGUUGCGUCGGCUGUGAAAUCCCGAGGCUCAACCUCGGGUCUGCAGUCGAUACGAGCAAACUAGAGUGUUGCAGGGGAGACUGGGAAUUCCUGGUGUAGCGGUGAAAUGCGCAGAUAUCGGGAGGAACACCAGUGGCGAAGGCGAUCAUCUGGGGUUGUUCUGACACUGAGGAGCGAAAGCUAGGGGAGCAAACGGG